AUGCCAGUGUCGGGCCGUCAGACUUCGGGUGUUAAGCUCCGUGGUCAAAAGGGAAUCCGCCCAGACCGUCGUUUAAGGCCCCAAAGUGCAUGCUAAUUGGCAAAGGAUGUGGGGGUGCAUAUACAACCAGGAGGUUGGCUUAGAAGCAGCCACACUUUAAAGAGUGAGUAAUAGCUCACUGGUCGAGUGCUCCCGCGCCGAAAAUGUAAUCGGGACUAAGCAUGGCGCCGAAGGCCCGGACUCCGUAAGGAGUGGUAGGCGAGCGUUCUUUCUUCCGUUGAAGGCGUACCGUAAGGAGCGCUGGAGGAGUAAGAAGUGAAGCUGCUGGCAUGAGUAGCGUAAAGGGGAGUGAGAUUCUUUCCCACCGAUAGCCUACGGUUUCCCCGGGAAGGCCAUUCCGCCGGGGGCUAGUCGG
rnacentral:rRNA from 1 species